rnacentral:rRNA from 1 species
AUUGAACGCUGGCGGCAGGCCUAACACAUGCAAGUCGAACGAUUCGCGUACCUCUGAGUAAUCUCUGGGAAACUCCCUGAUUGAGGGGGAUAACUCCUGGAAUCCGUAUCUAAUUCCGCAUUCCAUCAGUUGUGCCCAGAUGUGUUUAGCUUGUUGGUGGGGUAACGGCUCACCAAGGCGACGAUCCCUAGCUGGUCUGAGAGGAUGAUCAGGAACACUGGAACGGAGACACGGUCCAGACUCAUACGGGAGGCAGCAGUGGGGAAUAUUGAACAAUGGGCGCAAGCCUGAUGCAGCCAUGCCGCGUGUAUGAAGAAGGCCUUCGGGUUGUAAAGUACUUUCAGCGGGAAGGCGGUACCCGCAGAAGAAGCACCGGCUAACUCCGUGCCAGCAGCCGCGGUAAUUG